UUUAAACAGGAAAUACUGAGCCCGCUCCUCCCAUACUCCUGCCCUGCUGCAGAACUACAAGGGGCAAACAAUGGACUAUCAUUAUAGCACCUCAACCUGGGUCUCACCACGUCUGAAUCCUCACCACUAACCAACAAUCCUUGACAAGUCCCAUAACAUUUCCCAGGAAAAAACAUGUGUGUGCUCAGGGGGGGGAAACAGACUGAGGACCUUGAAGAAAAGCCUGCAUUGAUACACCAGGUAAGAUGACAGCUGGCCAGAAUCCGGACCCGACGACGUCAAUCCAAGGGUCUUCAGGAUGUGAGCCAAAUAUUUGACAGCAGAGCUACGACAUCUCUUUGACCUGCCAUUAAGGCUGAAGAAGGUGCUAAAGAUUUGGGAGACAUUCUGUGUUGUCCCUGUCCCAAAGAAGGGACAGUCCAUUUACGAUUUGCCUGGAUCCUUUGUAGGCUGACUUCAGCGUGGACGAUGCUACUUCGCAGAGCUUAUGCCACCUGGAUAAACCACAUAUCACAGUGAGGAUGAUGUUUUUCUGCUUCGUAUACCAUCCUAUCUGUGAUGCAGGUAGAUCAAGACCUGGGGGCCUGGAUUACUGAUUACCUCACUAACAGGCCGCAGUGUGUCAGGCUGCACAUCUCUCUCUCUGAUGUUGUGGUGAGCAACAAGGGCACACCCCAGGGAAGUGUGUUAUAACAGUUUUUGGUUUUUUUUUACACGCUCCAUCUCUGACUUUCGCUUCAGCUCUGGAACAAACAACCUACAGAAGUUGUCAGAUGACUCCUGUAUUGUUGGCUGCACUACAGAUGACAGGGAGGAGGAAGACAGUGACUUGAUUGAGAGCUUCACUGGAUGGUGUGAGAGUUAUCACCUCCAGCUUAAUACAAUUUGAGCAGAAGGCCCCACACCCCUGUUUUAAGAAAGGGUGAAGAGGUUGAGAUGGAGGGCACCUAUAGGUACUCAAGGGAGCAACUUUGUAACAACUUGGACAAUACUAAAUGCCUCUACAGGAAAGAUUACAGCAGGCUGUUCUUUCUGAGGCUCAGGUCUUUUAAUGUGUGCACUAGACUGCUGCAGGUAUUCUACCAGUCCAUAAUGGAGAAAAUGAAUCUAGACUCUGUAACAUCAGAACAGUUAAAGACAGACUUACAGUAAACCACCUCUUCAACAAAUCUGUUCCAUUCAUAAAAAAAAAAUAAUAAUAAAUCUUUUUUUAUCAUGGCCUUGGAGUGAGACUGGACUGGAAUCCACUUUUUUUUUUUUUUUUUUUUUUUUGCUGUGGUGUGUUGGGGAGGUGGCAUUGGGUCACACAGCAUCAACAAGCUAAGUAAGCUGGAAAGGAAGGCCACUUUGGCUGUGGGACUAGAACCGGACAGUGUGAAGGGAUUGACCAAGAAAAGAGUGAGAGGGAAGUUAAAGGCCUUCAUGGACAAUCCCUCUGAUCCAUGCUGAGCUUAGUCAGCACUGGAGCUCCUUCAGCCACAGACUCUUUCAGCUCCAGGCCUCAGAGCAGAUCGGAGGCUCGUUUGUGCCAUCUGGCUCCACAACACCACAUCACCAAAAUAAUAGUCCUGAUUAUACAUUGUUUUAUGUUGUUGCUAUUUCUUGGGCUGCUAUGCCAACUGUUAUUUCUCCUAUGGGGGAUUAAUAAAGUUAUAUAUAUAUAUAUGCUUGA